UGCCGUUUUGGCAUUGUAAAUGAAAUUUCCUCAUCACUUGUCUCGCCUUUAAAUUUUUAUGCUGGUUCUGCCUUCCUUCGCGCUUUGUGUUGUUUUGUUGUUUGUUGAGCUUGCAUUCCCAUACCUCGAGCUGUGAUGUAUUUUUUGUGAAGUAGGGUAGGAUUUUUAUUUUUUGUUGAAGUGUUUGUGAUUCCUCUGGUCGAGUUUUCC
rnacentral:lncRNA from 1 species